CCUCCCUCCAUGCAAGGCUCGGCUCUCCCAUUAUUCCAGUCUUUUCUGCCUUCUCUAGCCUGCUCCAGCACAGGGGGCUUCGAACUCCCAUGAGUGGAGCAUACAAGACCUCAUUUGCUCUGGCUUGGAGAGCAGGAGAUGUUCUCACUGACGUUUGCCGGCCGAAGCCCUAUGGAUGCUGGUAAUGGCAGAGGCCGUCUGCCAAUGGUGAUUGAACACACGAGAGCUCUCUGAACUUUCCACUCAUCAUCUUUUUGUAAGUCUGUCUGUCUUAAAAAUAUACUAAAACUUAUUUGAUAUAAAUAAUACUACUAUAGUUAGCCAGACAUAUCAGACUUCAUCAUUUGUGUGGGACAGAAUGAUGUUAUAGGACUCCACUCCUUGGACAGAGGUUGACUAUAAAAUCAUAGGUAUUAUUUGAUCCUCUUCUGUUUGCCGAUAUUUUAUUUACUUUUUCAUUUGUUG
ensembl:lncRNA